rnacentral:lncRNA from 1 species
CCAGAAUGAAGCCGGCCUGAUCAUUUCCACCUUCAUACUCAAUCCAUCCAACCAACUUGCUUCUGGUUCAGAGAUAUAGCCGACCAUCAGAAGGAGUAGUAUGUGUUGUACUCUUUUUCCUUAUCGGGUUUUGUCCCACAGGGUUUUCCCGAAAGGUUUUAAUGAGGCAACAUGCAAGCAUACUAUGAGUUCUGAUCCGGACAUCUCAAACC